rnacentral:rRNA from 1 species
UACGUAGGGUGCAAGCGUUGUCCGGAAUUAUUGGGCGUAAAGAGCUCGUAGGCGGUCUGUCGCGUCGGCUGUGAAAACGCGAGGCUCAACCUCGCGCCUGCAGUGGGUACGGGCAGACUAGAGUCCGGAGGAGGAAAGUGGAAUUCCUGGUGUAGCGGUGAAAUGCGCAGAUAUCAGGAAGAACACCAAUGGCGAAAGCAGCUUUCUGGGACGGUACUGACGCUAAGACGCGAAAGCGUGGGGAGCGAACAGG